AGCGAACGCUGGCGGCAGGCCUAACACAUGCAAGUCGAACGAAGUCUUCGGACUUAGUGGCGGACGGGUGAGUAACACGUGGGAACGUGCCUUUAGGUUCGGAAUAACUCAGGGAAACUUGUGCUAAUACCGAAUGUGCCCUUCGGGGGAAAGAUUUAUCGCCUUUAGAGCGGCCCGCGUCUGAUUAGCUAGUUGGUGAGGUAAAGGCUCACCAAGGCGACGAUCAGUAGCUGGUCUGAGAGGAUGAUCAGCCACAUUGGGACUGAGACACGGCCCAAACUCCUACGGGAGGCAGCAGUGGGGAAUCUUGCGCAAUGGGCGAAAGCCUGACGCAGCCAUGCCGCGUGAAUGAUGAAGGUCUUAGGAUUGUAAAAUUCUUUCACCGGGGACGAUAACGACGGUACCCGGAGGAGAAGCCCCGGCUAACUUCGUGCCAGCCGCCGCAGUAAUAC
rnacentral:rRNA from 1 species